AUUGAACGCUGGCGGCAUGCUUUACACAUGCAAGUCGAACGGUAACAGGCCUUCGGGUGCUGACGAGUGGCGAACGGGUGAGUGAUGCAUCGGAACGUACCCAGAGGUGGGGGAUAACGCAGCGAAAGCUGUGCUAAUACCGCAUGUGAUCUGAGGAUGAAAGCGGGGGACCGAGCAGCAAUGUUUGGCCUCGCGCCUUUGGAGCGGCCGAUGUCGGAUUAGCUAGUUGGUGGGGUAAAGGCCUACCAAGGCGACGAUCCGUAGCUGGUCUGAGAGGACGACAAGCCACACUGGGACUGAGACACGGCCCAGACUCCUACGGGAGGCAGCAGUGGGGAAUUUUGGACAAUGGGCGCAAGCCUGAUCCAGCAAUGCCGCGUGCGGGAAGAAGGCCUUCGGGUUGUAAACCGCUUUUGGCAGGAACGAAACGGUGUCCGCUAAUACCGGGCGCUAAUGACGGUACCUGCAGAAUAAGCACCGGCUAACUACGUG
rnacentral:rRNA from 1 species